CCUAGAAACUGUAAACUUAGUC
rnacentral:miRNA from 1 species